rnacentral:rRNA from 1 species
GAUGAACGCUAGCGGCAGGCCUAAUACAUGCAAGUCGAACGAGAUUAAGAGGCUUGCUUCUUAUGAAAGUGGCGCACGGGUGCGUAACGCGUAUGCAACCUACCUUAAUCAGGGGGAUAGCCCGAAGAAAUUCGGAUUAAGACCGCAUAAAAACACAGGAUAGCAUUAUCCAAUGUUCAAAUAUUUAUAGGAUUAAGAUGGGCAUGCGUGUCAUUAGCUAGUUGGCGGGGUAACGGCCCACCAAGGCGACGAUGACUAGGGGAUCUGAGAGGAUGACCCCCCACACUGGUACUGAGACACGGACCAGACUCCUACGGGGGGCAGCAGUAAGGAAUAUUGGUCAAUGGAGGGAACUCUGAACCAGCCAUGCCGCGUGCAGGAAGACAGCCCUCUGGGUCGUAAACUGCUUUUAUUCGGGAAUAAACCUUUCUACGUGUAGGAAGCUGAAUGUACCGAAGGAAUAAGGAUCGGCUAACUCCGUG